UUCAGCAGCUAUAUCACCCUGCAACUCACAACUGCCAAUGUACUGAAGCUCAGCAGGUGUGAGCCUGGCCAGUGCCUAGGUGAGAGACCUCCUGGGAAAGCUAAGGCUGCUGCUGGAA
rnacentral:rRNA from 1 species